rnacentral:rRNA from 1 species
AGCUCCAAUAGCGUAUAUUAAAGUUGUUGCAGUUAAAAAGCUCGUAGUUGGAUCUCGGGAGCAGGCCGGCGGUCCGCCUCGCGGCGGUUUCUUCCUUUUCUUCCCCUCCCGCCCGUUUUUCCCCCGUGCUCUUCCUUUGGUGCCUCCGGUGGCCGGAACGUUUACUUUGAAAAAAUUAGAGUGUUCAAAGCAGGCAGUUCGCCUGAAUAAUGGUGCAUGGAAUAAUGGAAUAGGACCUCGGUUCUAUUUUGUUGGUUUUCGGAACUUGAGGUAAUGAUUAAGAGGGACAGACGGGGGCAUUCGUAUUACACUGUUAGAGGUGAAAUUCUUGGAUCGGUGUAAGACGAACUACUGCGAAAGCAUUUGCCAAGAAUGUUUUCA